UAGCUAAUCUGCCCUACACUAGAGACAACAGUUGGAAACGGCUGCUAAUACUCUAUACUCCUGUCUUACAUAAGUUAGAUAGGGAAAGUUUUUCGGUUGUAGGAUGAGGCUAUAUUGUAUCAGCUAGUUGGUGAGGUAAUGGCUCACCAAGGCUAUGACGCAUAACUGGUCUGAGAGGAUGAUCAGUCACACUGGAACUGAGACACGGUCCAG
rnacentral:rRNA from 1 species